CGGCUUUUACGCUCUACCAGAGGAUCUCUCCCGUAAAUCGCAAGACUGAAUGUUUGUCACAAGGGUGAUUUCUUUGCCUUCUGGAACUGCCAGGAUUCUGUUGAAGUCACUUGGUUGGACCUGGCCAAAAGAGCAUGGCGUUGGCCUUCCUGAGGUAUUCUCCAAAUCUGAAAGUUUUAGCCUUGAUAACAAGCUCAUAAGAACACUAUUUCAGAUUAGAAACAGCCUAUUGGCUUUGAUUUCACAAUUCAAUCACUGGACACAAACUACAUUACAUUAAGCACUACUGGGACCCAGACUCUUUGAAUGGCAGUAGACCAAAAAAAAAAAAAAAAAGAAAAGAAUCAGUACAAUUCGUUGUUUUCAAGAUCUUUGUUCACAGGUCAGUUGACACUUACCUCUAGUGCGUUCUAUCAGAUAGAUGUGGCUGAUAGUGGAGAUGACAGAUGCUAUCUGCCUCCACUUGGGCUGUUAUAAAAGAAUACCAUAGACUGGGUGGCUGAUAAACAACAGAAAUUUAUUUCUCAUGGUUCUGGAGUCUGGGAAGUCCAAGACCAAGGUGCCGGCAGAUUGGUGUCUGGUGAGGAGCUGCUUCCUUCUUCAUAGCCAGCCUUCUUGGUGUGUCCUCACAUGCUGGAAGGGGCAAGGGAGGUCUCUGGGGUCUCUUUCAAAAUGGUCCUAGUCCCGUUCAUGAGGCUCCACCUUUAUGACCUAAUCACCUCCCAGAGCCCUCACCUCCUUCGACCGUCACAUUGGGGGUUAAGAUGUCAACAUAUAAACUUUGGAGAAACAUACAUAUUCAAUCCAUUAUAGAUAAUAUUGACAGCCUUGGAUCACGAAGUAGCUGCUUGGGCUGUGUGACCAUCUUUUCCCAGGUGAGGGAGUGAGACCAGGGUCAGGCAAGGGCUCAGUUUUCUGACAGUCCUCUUUCUGCUUUGUUCCAGGAAUCGGGGGCUUGCUACUUACUCUCUGUCUCCUUCAUUCUCAAUUUCAAGGGUGUG
rnacentral:lncRNA from 1 species